GGGAGGCAGCAGUGAGGAAUAUUGGUCAAUGGACGAGAGUCUGAACCAGCCAAGUAGCGUGAAGGAUGACUGCCUAUGGGUUGUAAACUUCUUUUAUACGGGAAUAAGUGAGGCACGUGUGCCUUUUUGUAUGUACCGUAUGAAUAAGGAUCGGCUAACUCCGUGCCAGCAGCCGCGGUAAUACGGAGGAUCCGAGCGUUAUCCGGAUUUAUUGGGUUUAAAGGGAGCGUAGGCGGACGCUUAAGUCAGUUGUGAAAGUUUGCGGCUCAACCGUAAAAUUGCAGUUGAUACUGGGUGUCUUGAGUACAGUAGAGGCAGGCGGAAUUCGUGGUGUAGCGGUGAAAUGC
rnacentral:rRNA from 1 species